rnacentral:rRNA from 1 species
UUUAUGGAGAGUUUGAUCCUGGCUCAGAGUGAACGCUGGCGGCGUGCUUAACACAUGCAAGUCGAACGAUGAAGCUUUAGCUUGCUAAAGUGGAUUAGUGGCGCACGGGUGAGGAAUAUAUAGCUAAUGUGCCCCUUAGAGGGGGAUAACAGUUGGAAACGACUGCUAAUACCCCAUACUCCUUCUUCCCACAAGGGAAGUCGGGAAAGUUUUUUCGCUAAGGGAUCGGGCUAUACGGUAUCAGCUUGUUGGUGAGGUAACGGCUCACCAAGGCUAUGACGCCUAACUGGUCUGAGAGGAUGAUCAGUCACACUGGAACUGAGACACGGUCCAGACUCCUACGGGAGGCAGCAGUGGGGAAUAUUACACAAUGG